rnacentral:rRNA from 1 species
GAUGAACGCUGGCGGCGUGCCUAAUACAUGCAAGUCGAGCGAACGGACGAGAAGCUUGCUUCUCUGAUGUUAGCGGCGGACGGGUGAGUAACACGUGGAUAACCUACCUAUAAGACUGGGAUAACUUCGGGAAACCGGAGCUAAUACCGGAUAAUAUUUUGAACCGCAUGGUUCAAAAGUGAAGGACGGUCUUGCUGUCACUUAUAGAUGGAUCCGCGCUGCAUUAGCUAGUUGGUAAGGUAACGGCUUACCAAGGCAACGAUGCAUAGCCGACCUGAGAGGGUGAUCGGCCACACUGGAACUGAGACACGGUCCAGACUCCUACGGGAGGCAGCAGUAGGGAAUCUUCCGCAAUGGGCGAAAGCCUGACGGAGCAGCGCCGCGUGAGUGAUGAAGGUCUUCGGAUCGUAAAACUCUGUUAUUAGGGAAGAACAUAUGUGUAAGUAACUGUGCACAUCUUGACGGUACCUAAUCAGAAAGCCACGGCUAACUACGUG